UCCCUCUGGAUGCUCCAAUUCAUGCUCCUAUCGUAUAACUGGCUAUUACGGUUGCCUUGUAAGCAACUUAUCAGG
rnacentral:tRNA from 1 species